rnacentral:rRNA from 1 species
UGGAGGAAACUCUGAUGCAGCGACGCCGCGUGAGUGAAGAAGGUCUUCGGAUCGUAAAACUCUGUCCUUGGUGAAGAUAAUGACGGUAGCCAAGGAGGAAGCCCCGGCUAACUACGUGCCAGCAGCCGCGGUAAUACGUAGGGGGCGAGCGUUGUCCGGAUUUACUGGGCGUAAAGGGUGAGUAGGCGGUAAUAUGUGUCAGAUGUAAAAGGCUAAGGCUUAACCAUAGUUAGCAUUUGAAACUGUAUUACUUGAGUGCAGGAGAGGUAAGUGGAAUUCCUAGUGUAGCGGUGAAAUGCGUAGAUAUUAGGAGGAACACCAGUGGCGAAGGCGACUUACUGGACUGUAACUGACGCUGAGUCACGAAAGCGUGGGUAGCAAACAGGAUUAGAUACCCUGGUAGUCCACGCCGUAAACGAUGAGUGCUAGGUGUUGGGUAGCGAUACUCAGUGCCGAAGUAAACACAAUAAGCACUCCGCCUGGGGAGUAC